GUGCUCGCUUCGGCAGCGCAUAUGGUAAAAUCAGGCCGAUCCAGAGGCAAACAGCGUGGCCCGUGCACGAUGAUGACAUGCGAAUUCAGGAAGCAUUCCGUGCUUUU
ensembl:snRNA U6 U6 spliceosomal RNA